ensembl:lncRNA
CCUGGUGUAACUGCCAUAGGCGUGGCUGUUGAAAUGAUGAUUGUGGCAGUUACCUGAAAACAACAAGAUUAAAGGACGCUGCUGUAAGUAGGAACAUUUUAAACAACUGUGAAAUAUUCAAAACAUUUUUAUAUUCAGGAUAUUGUUCUAUAAUGCCCAUAUUAUUUGCGUUACAGGGCGGCGUCUACUUUAAUCUACAAAAUAGGUAAAUUUGACAUUUUUGUUAUUCUACAAUGCACCUGUUCCUUUGUCGUCAGACAAGGAACAUUGUGUCGACAGAUAUUGACUGCAGUACUGCUCUUCCAUAGAUGUGAAACUCGAUGACAAAAUAUGAAUAAUGAUAGGAUCUUUAUCAUUGUUUAAAUAUUUCACAUUGAAAUGGGGCAAAUUAUACUGUCUUUGCUUGUGUGAUCUUCAAAUCGACCUUAGGUUUGUUUGGUGAAGAGGAUGACAUCACCUUGUUUUGACAAACCCCUAUCAAACAUUACUAUCCACAAAUAAUAUUUUCCCCCAAUUGUUAUGAUUUGAUCAUGCUGUAGAGCUAAGGAAUAUAUGAUGUUAUUAGCAAUAAUACUAUUAUUAAUUUAAUAGUUAAAUAAUUCAUAGUAUCUUUACCACAUAUAUUUUACAUUAUUGUAUUUCUUUUUAUUUGCUAAUUAUUUUAAAGCAAGACUAAUGACAAAUCCAUCCUUUCAUUGGAUUGGUUUGAGACAUUACAUUUGUAAAGACAUUAUGUAAUAUUACAAAAUCAAAUGUAUAUUUUAAGAUGACUAAACAAAGAAGCAAUUGUUUUGCAAUGGUAUCCGUUUGGUUGAUUUGAGUAAUGGAAAUCCACCAUUUGCAUUGCGACUACCUCUCCAACAGGACGUGAGCAGAGAGACAGAACAGCUUAGGGACAGAAAACAAAAUGGUGGAACACAGAAGACAGCGACGCCGUGCCAUUUCCCUCAGGGCUGGACCUAGUGAGGUGGACAACGUCACCCUGUCUGAUGUGAAUCUCAGGAUCCAUGCCUGGGCUGCCCGGACAACAGGUCGUCAGCUGGCAGAGAUGGGUGACAGACUGGACCGUGAAUGGGCAGAGAGACACCCUAAUCAGUGGCCUGUGCCACAAACUCUUCAUGUGACAAGUCCUGCCCAUGCCCUGACUAGAAGCAUCUACAGGGGGAUACAAGGACAGCUUUGGGGAGUGAAGAGUUUGCCCGGCGUGGCCUCCGCUGUCCACAGGCAGGCUACACAGAGAGCAGAGGCUUGGGUUUCCAGUAUUCAACCUGCUAACUGCCCUGGUUGGGCCAAAGCAAUGCUUGCCACUGUGGCACUGGUGGCCACGGCAACCAUUUGCACUGCAUUGUGGAAGGAGUAGAAAGGCUAACCAUUGCACUGAGGGGGGCCUUGGCUGGACUUCUGGCUACAAUGUUCUAUGUUGGACAAUUUCCUAAUUGAGUGAUAUUUUUAAACCAUUUUUACUAUAGACUUUAAGAAAAAAGAAAUACCGUGUGUGUUAUUGAAUUGAUUGUGCUGGAUCACAGUUUUUAUAGUCUUAUCAACUAAUGCAUGUUUUAAAUACUGUUGCUGGUCUGCAGUUUUUUCUAUGAAGAUUGAGCCUGUUACUGGUUAGACAUUUAAUUGCCACAACUAUCUUAUGUAGCUUAUUACACCAUUAAAUGGACACUGGAAAAUGAUUUUUUUAAUGACUUGAGAAAAAAUUAAACUUGAGAAAAACCAAAC